UGUGGCUCAAGUGGUAGAGCUCAUGUUUUGCAUGCAUGAGGCUCUGGGUUUAAUUCCAGCA
rnacentral:tRNA from 1 species